rnacentral:rRNA from 1 species
CCCUUAGAUGUCCUGGGCCGCACGCGCGCUACACUGAUGCAUGCAACGAGUUUAUAACCUUGGCCUGAAAGGUCUGGGUAAUCUUUUGAACGUGCAUCGUGAUAGGGAUAGAUUAUUGCAAUUGUUAAUCUUGAACGAGGAAUUCCUAGUAAACGCGAGUCAUCAGCUCGCAUUGAUUACGUCCCUGCCCUUUGUACACACUGCCCGUCGCACCUACCGAUUGAAUGGUUCGGUGAAGAUCUCGGACUUCGAUAUUUAUUCUUUAUUGAGUUUAUAUUGUGGGAAGUUAUCUAAACCUCAUCAUUUAGAGGAAGGUGAAGUCGUAACA